rnacentral:tRNA from 1 species
ACCUGGGAGGCUCAGUCGGUUGAGCAUCUGACUUCGGCUCAGGUCAUAAUCUCCUGUUUUGUGGGUUCGAGCCCCGUACUGGGCU